UGGGGAAUUUUGGACAAUGGGGGAAACCCUGAUCCAGCCAUCCCGCGUGUGCGAUGAAGGCCUUCGGGUUGUAAAGCACUUUUGGCAGGAAAGAAACGUCGCGGGUUAAUACCCCGCGGAACUGACGGUACCUGCAGAAUAAGCACCGGCUAACUACGUGCCAGCAGCCGCGGUAAUACGUAGGGUGCAAGCGUUAAUCGGAAUUACUGGGCGUAAAGCGUGCGCAGGCGGUUCGGAAAGAAAGAUGUGAAAUCCCAGAGCUUAACUUUGGAACUGCAUUUUUAACUACCGGGCUAGAGUGUGUCAGAGGGAGGUGGAAUUCCGCGUGUAGCAGUGAAAUGCGUAGAUAUGCGGAGGAACACCGAUGGCGAAGGCAGCCUCCUGGGAUAACACUGACGCUCAUGCACGAAAGCGUGGGGAGCAAACAGGAUUAGAUACCCUGGUAGUCCACGCCCUAAACGAUGUCAACUAGCUGUUGGGGUCUUCGGACCUUGGUAGCGCAGCUAACGCGUGAAGUUGACCGCCUGGGGAGUACGGUCGCAAGAUUAAAACUCAAA
rnacentral:rRNA from 1 species